rfam:Otolemur garnettii contig084548, whole genome shotgun sequence.
GCCUGUAGUCCCAGCUACUUGGGAGGCUGAGUCAGGAGAAUUGUUUGAGUCCAGGAGUUCUGGGCUAUAUAGUGUGCUAUGCCAAAUUGGGUGUCUGCACUAAGUUCAGCAUCAAUGUUGACUUUGGGGGGGGAGGAAGGGGGCACACCAGGUUGCCUAAGGAGGGGUGAAUGGGCCCAGGUUGGAAAUGGAGAAGGUCAAAAACUUCCGUGCUGAUCAGUAGUGGGAACGUGCCUGUGAAGUCACUGCACUCCAGCGUGGGCAACAUAACAAGAUUCUAUCUCAA